CUCUCUCAUCAUGACUCUUCUAACUUCUUCUCCUGCAACAAUUCUGCAGAAACCAAGGUCAGAGAAGAAAGACAGAGAGGUACUCUAGGCACUGGGUCAGGAUUCCUCUGCAGGCAGUGGAGGACCACAUCUGAUAUCCACGCUGCAGCCUGUGAAGGAUCAAAAAUCACAACAGGGAGAUCAUGUUAAUGCCUAAUGACAUUAAAGAUGGAUUUGUUUUCUGCUUGAGUACCUUUCCGCUUUUUAAUUCGCAAAAUCACAGAAUUGUAUGGGUUGGAAGGAAUCUCUAGAGAUCAUUGUGUCCAACACUUCUAUUAAAGCAG
ensembl:lncRNA